rfam:Zootermopsis nevadensis contig9334, whole genome shotgun sequence.
GCCACGGUGGUCUAGCGGUUAGAACGCUGGCCUUGUAAUCCUGGGGAGGUCUCGGGUUCGAUUCCCGGCGGUGCCC